rnacentral:rRNA from 1 species
UACGGAGGGUGCAAGCGUUAUCCGGAUUCACUGGGUUUAAAGGGUGCGUAGGUGGGCAGGUAAGUCAGUGGUGAAAUCUCCGGGCUUAACCCGGAAACUGCCGUUGAUACUAUUUGUCUUGAAUGUCGUGGAGGUGAGCGGAAUAUGUCAUGUAGCGGUGAAAUGCUUAGAGAUGACAUAGGACACCGAUUGCGAAGGCAGCUCACUACGCGAAUAUUGACACUGAGGCACGAAAGCGUGGGGAUCAAACAGG